GACGAACCGUGCGAACGUUAUUCGGAAUCACUGGGCUUAAAGCGUGCGUAGGCGGCUCAGAAAGUUGGGUGUGAAAUCCCUCGGCUCAACCGAGGAAUUGCGCCCAAAACUACUGGGCUUGAGGGAGUUAGAGGUGAGCGGAACUCACGGUGGAGCGGUGAAAUGCGUUGAUAUCGUGAGGAACACCGGAGGCGAAAGCGGCUCACUGGGUCUUUUCUGACGCUGAGGAACGAAAGCUAGGGGAGCAAACGGG
rnacentral:rRNA from 1 species